rfam:Triticum aestivum genome assembly, contig: Triticum_aestivum_CS42_TGACv1_scaffold_031874_1BL
GUUAUGCACCUUUCGCCCGAAAAUACUUGUCAUCAAAAUGGAUAAAAAGAUAUGUAUCUCGAAUUAAAAUACAUCUAGAUACAUCUCUUUUAUUUAUUUUGAUGACAAAUAUUUCCGAACGGAGGGAGUACCAA